CACGCAUUUUUANNUGCAGUCGAACGGUAACGCGGGGAGAAGCUUGCUUCUCUCCGGCGACGAGUGGCGAACGGGUGAGUAAUACAUCGGAACGUGUCCGCUCGUGGGGGACAACCAGCCGAAAGGUUGGCUAAUACCGCAUGAGUUCUACGGAAGAAAGAGGGGGACCCGCAAGGGCCUCUCGCGAGCGGAGCGGCCGAUGACUGAUUAGCCGGUUGGUGAGGUAACGGCUCACCAAAGCAACGAUCAGUAGCUGGUCUGAGAGGACGACCAGCCACACUGGGACUGAGACACGGCCCAGACUCCUACGGGAGGCAGCAGUGGGGAAUUUUGGACGAUGGGCGCAAGCCUGAUCCAGCUAUUCCGCGUGUGGGAUGAAGGCCCUCGGGUUGUAAACCACUUUUGUAGAGAACGAAAAGACACCUUCGAAUAAAGGGUGUUGCUGACGGUACUCUAAGAAUAAGCACCGGCUAACUACGUGCCAGCAGCCGCGGUAAUACGUAGGGUGCGAGCGUUAAUCGGAAUUACUGGGCGUAAAGGGUGCGCAGGCGGUUGAGUAAGACAGAUGUGAAAUCCCCGAGCUUAACUCGGGAAUGGCAUAUGUGACUGCUCGACUAGAGUGUGUCAGAGGGAGGUGGAAUUCCACGUGUAGCAGUGAAAUGCGUAGAUAUGUGGAAGAACACCGAUGGCGAAGGCAGCCUCCUGGGACAUAACUGACGCUCAGGCACGAAAGCGUGGGGAGCAAACAGG
rnacentral:rRNA from 1 species